GACGAACGCUGGCGGCGUGCUUAACACAUGCAAGUCGAACGAUGAAGCCUAGCUUGCUAGGUGGAUUAGUGGCGAACGGGUGAGUAAUACGUGAGUAACCUACCUUUAACUCUGGGAUAAGCCUGGGAAACUGGGUCUAAUACCGGAUACGACCAAUCUCCGCAUGGGGUGUUGGUGGAAAGCGUUAUGUAGUGGUUAUAGAUGGGCUCACGGCCUAUCAGCUUGUUGGUGAGGUAACGGCUCACCAAGGCGACGACGGGUAGCCGGCCUGAGAGGGUGACCGGCCACACUGGGACUGAGACACUGCCCAUACUCCUACGGGAGGCAGCAGUGGGGAAUUUUGCACAAUGGGCGCAAGCCUGAUGCUGCGACGCCUUGUGAGGGAUGACGGCCUUCGGUGUGUAAACCUCUUUUAGCAGGGUUGAAGAGAGAUUGGCGGUACCUGGCUAGAAUGCGCUGGGUAACUACGUGCCAGCUGGCUCGGUGGACGUAGGGUGGGAGCGUUUGUGCUGAAUGUAUUGGUGUUAAGAUCUUGUUGUCGUUUUGUCUCUUCUGUGGCAUAUGCGUGGCUGAGUUGCUUGUGUGUGUGUGGUUACGGGGGUCGUUAAGUGGAUUGGUUGGGAUUGAAUGCUGGGGGUGUCGGUGGUGGAUGUGGUUUGUGAAAUGUGCUGUUGGUGAUGUUGUUUCUGUGCUGUGUCUGUGUUGGUUGGUUUUUGUGUGAGUGUGUGUGUUGAUGCUGGUGAUGUGUUGGAUUGUGUUUUGGUGUGUGUUUGUGUGUUUUGUGUGUGUGUCGGUGUGGUGUGUUGUGCGUCUGAGUGUGAUGAUGUGAUGAGUUGCUAGGUGUAGUGGCCUUGGGUUGGUGCUCGCUUGU
rnacentral:rRNA from 1 species